rnacentral:rRNA from 1 species
UACCGAGUGAGGGCCCUCUGGGUCCACCUCCCACCCGUGUUUAUUUACCUUGUUGCUUCGGCGAGCCUGCCUUUUGGCUGCCGGGGGACGUCAGUCCCCGGGUCCGUGCUCGCCGGAGACACCUUAGAACUCUGUCUGAAGAUUGUAGUCUGAGAUUAAAUAUAAAUUAUUUAAAACUUUCAACAACGGAUCUCUUGGUUCCGGCAUCGAUGAAGAACGCAGCGAAAUGCGAUACGUAAUGUGAAUUGCAGAAUUCAGUGAAUCAUCGAGUCUUUGAACGCACAUUGCGCCCUCUGGUAUUCCGGAGGGCAUGCCUGUCCGAGCGUCAUUGCUGCCCUCAAGCACGGCUUGGUGUGUUGGGCCCCGUCCUCCUUCCGGGGGACGGGUCCGAAAGGCAGCGGCGGCACCGCGUCCGGUCCUCAAGCGUAUGGGGCUUUGUCACUCGCUUUGUAGGCCUGGCCGGCGCUUGCCGAUCAACCAAACUUUUUAUCAGGUUGACCUCGGAUCAGGUAGGGAUACCCGCUGAACUUAAGCAU